rnacentral:rRNA from 1 species
CGUGCAAACGUUGUUCGGAAUCACUGGGCUUAAAGGGCGCGUAGGCGGCAGACCAAGUCCGGGGUGAAAUCUUUCGGCUUAACCGGAAAAGGGCCUUGGAUACUGGUUUGCUAGAGGGAGGUAGGGGUCUGUGGAACUUCUGGUGGAGCGGUGAAAUGCGUUGAUAUCAGAAGGAACGCCGGUGGCGAAAGCGACGGACUGGAUCUCUUCUGACGCUGAGGCGCGAAAGCCAGGGGAGCAAACGGG